AGUAGGGCCUGCCCACUGAUUUUUUGAAGGGCCGCAGUAUCUUAACUGUGCAAAGGUAGCAUAAUCAUUAGUUUUUUAAUUGAAAGCUAGAAUGAAUGGUUUGAUGAAAAAAUAGCUUUUUCAAUUUUAAUUUUUUAAAAUUUUAUUUUUAAGUAAAAAAGCUUAAAUUAUGAUAAAAGACGAGAAGACCCUAUAGAGUUUAAUUUAUUUUAUAAUAUUAUUAUUAAGUUUUUAAUUAUUAGUAUUAUAAAAUAAAUUUGAUUGGGGUGAUUGAAAAAUUAAAAUAACUUUUUUUAUAUUUUUACAUUUAUUUAUGAAUUUAUGAUCCAUAGAAAUGAUUAAAAGAUU
rnacentral:rRNA from 1 species